UUCCUGUAGUGUAAUAGAUAACGCGUUGGAAUUCUAAUCCAAGUGUCGUAGGCUCGAAUCCCACCUGGGAAG